rnacentral:rRNA from 1 species
UACGUAGGGUGCAAGCGUUAAUCGGAAUUACUGGGCGUAAAGCGUGCGCAGGCGGUUCGUUAAGUUCGUUGUGAAAGCCCCGGGCUCAACCUGGGAACUGCAAUGGAAACUGGCGGGCUUGAAUGCGGCAGAGGGGGGUGGAAUUCCGCGUGUAGCAGUGAAAUGCGUAGAUAUUCGCAAGAACACCAGUGGCGAAGGCGGCUCACUGGCCCGAUACUGACGCUGAUGCGCGAAAGCGUGGGGAGCAAACGGG